AUAGCCAUACUAUAUGAUUUUGUAGGGAUAAAUUUCUUUGGCCUUGUUAUUUCAAAAGUUCAUGAUUACCUUGCUAGUUUGCUUGAAGUACUAUUGUUUUCAUGUCAACUAGCGGUGUGUCCUCCGCAUUUGCGCGGCUAGAUUCUACUAAAGAUGUAUUACUCCUGUUAUAGAGAUUGUCUCAAAUACUCCACUUGGACCAUUGUUUGUGAUAUGUACACGCUUUAUUCUCUCUAAAACAAUACUAUGAAAACAAACCAUUGUGCAAUAUUCCUUGAUGUAACCAAGCUAACGUGUUAACAUAUUCAUAGUCAUUGUUAGAUAUGUUAAAAUGUACACAUUUUAUCGAUGGCUUUUAUGAUUCAUUGUGUUUGUAUAAUCAAAAAUCAAAGGAGUAUCAUAUUGAGAGGACACUUUUUAAAAUCCUUCUACAUAAUUUUAAAAAGUUAAAUCUAAACAUUAUUAUCUCAUAUACAUUUUUCUCUCUCUUUAUUCACUUCCAGAAUAUUAGUCGUAUUGCAAUUAUGUAGGUUUUCUUGUGUAAUGUCUUGCAUUUACACCCAUCACCUUAUUUUUGAUUAAAUGUGUUCAUAUAUCAACAUAUAGUUUUCAUUUAGUAGUUAAGUACAACUAACAUGACUUACCACAUAUUUGAUACCAUUAUUUGAAAUGAAUAAUGGUGUCGAUGAUGGCUGUCCCUUGAAAAAUAUUUACAGUUAUCGCUUCAAUGUACGUAUAUCAUGUUACUUCCUUCGGAUUUACAUGCAACCACCCGCAUAGCAUAUUGGAACAAUCUUACAUUUUCCCCAAUUUCACACAUAUUCAAUUAUUGUUCAUCUUAAUUUACUUCAGAUAGUUCUUAAUAUGAGAAAUAUAUUAAAAAAUAUUUGUUUAAACUUUACUCUCUUCAACAGUCCCAUCCAACUUUACUCUCUUCCACAUAUAGUACAUCUUUUCUAGGUUCUGUUAAUCAAAGCAAUCAAUGAAUGUUGAUACGUUUGUCGUGUAUCUUUAUUCUCUUAAUUAGUUUAGUUAGGUUUUGCAAAAUAAUAUAGUUCACUUACGACCAUGGACAUGAAACAUGUAAAAAAUCACUGGAUCUUACAUUGCACUUCCACCUUUAGUUAUUUCUAUCGUCUUGAGUUAACCGUGAAAUUCAAGCCUGAAUGUGUGUCAAACUUUUAUUAAUUUUAAUAUAAUGCUUUUGUCCCAAUUUGGUGGAUUUUUCUCGGUUUGUACCUACUCACUCUAUGUGAUUCAUUAGAAUUUGUCGAUCUAAUAGUUAUUGAAAUAUUCUAAUUAGACAUUGCGGGCGUAAGAUGUCUAUAUCCUUGUAUUUCUCAUAAAUACCAAUGUAUAUUACCUAUACAUAAAGAAGAAUUUGGUCUUAGAUUAAUGUCUGCCCUAAGUGAUGUCAAUUUUUUUGUCAUCUUAAAUAAAUGUGCAAACAUAUGUUCUCGAAAAUGCCCGCAAUUUUGAUUUUUACAAUAAAAAUUGGUAGUCUAUAUUUUUCAAUUGAAUGAUUUUCCGGCCUGCCUAUAUAGUGGUGUUUUUUAUGUUAUAGCUACAUAGUUAUCCACCAGUUUUGUGUUUGCACGUAGGUAGUAGUAAUAACAUUUUACUUGUAGAUCUUAUAUGAAUUUAUUGACAUAAAAAAUCGUGACAUGUUACAUUAAUAUAUUAAAAGCCUGCAUGCAUGUACUUAUGCAGGACAUGUUACAUAGUAUUCCAAAAGCAUAGUAUAUUGAUUAUUAUCUAGGGAAAGGUAACUCUAAGGUUUAGAUUAAGUUAAUCAUCUCAGUCGAUUGUAUAUUUGAUUAUAAAAAUACAUCUAAUAACCUGUUACUUCGUCGAUGGUGACAUUGAGAAUCAACAUCGCGUCUGAUUUACCCCUCAAAAAAUAUCCGUCUCAUUUGUAGAGCAUGUAAACAAAAACAAAGAUAGUUUUAUUAUUUGAAAAAUAUGUGAUUAAUUAGAUAUUGCUGAUUGCUAAGAAAAAGAAUUAGAUGAUGUUGACAUCAUCCAUUAUGUGAGAAACACAAAUUCUGCACGUACGCGUUUCAUGGAUGGCUGUCCGUAACAUGACAUCAACCUUGCCGGUUAAGUUUUUUUCGCAAGUGUUAAGAAAAGUUCUGUACAGCCGGCCGUAAACCGACUGAUUAGCUGCCUUGUAUUUUGUAGAAAGCUGCCGCGUAUCCUAAACCAACAUGUAUAGGAAUUUUUCUUUGUAAAUAUGGUUAAACCUUGCACGUGUCAGAUUCUUAAAAUUGUAAACAUUAUUGACCAUAAAAAGGAAAAGACCUGAUUGCUUACAUUACGUGUUUUCUUUCCUUGUUUUUUCUGUUUUCUAAUUAUAUUUCUAAAAUAUUUUCCUUGUGAAGAUCGGAUGUUUUUUUAACCUAGACGUGUAUUUUGGUUGUACCCAGUACGUGUUGGGUGCUAGAAAUUGCAUGUAAUAAUGUUGUAUAUAAACUUUCAGAUGUUUUAAUCUCAACCACAAUAAUCUAAAUUGACAGAUCCUAUAUUAUUAGCAUACAUCUCAACCACAAUAAUCUAAAUCGACAGAUCCUAUAUUAUUAGCACUAGCAAAAGAACCCGUGCGUUGCAACGGCAGAAAAAAGAAUACACACUUUUAACCCAAUAACCAUGACUCAAGACCUUAGUAGGCCCAUGUUUUUCAGUUCCACAUGGCAUCACAUUUGUGUUGUCGAUAGUGGCCUCAAUGCUCACACAAUGAAAACGCGUUUGAUUAUGGUCAGUCUUAAGGUCUCUUUUUUUUCUCUCUCUCUGAGAAAAACAUACAAUAUGUUCAGUAUGCUUAGUUACAGAGGGAGUAUACACCAACUCGAUGCAUAUUUAAUGAACGAAUCAAAAAAUAAAAGCAUGAAAGAAUAUUGAGUACAAGUAUUUCAAACAAUUUAAAUCCAUGUCUUGUGAACUUAUAUUAUUAAUGAACAUAUAAUAAAUAAACAUGGAUAUGAACUUACUUGAUGUUUCAAGUUGCAUGGUCUCUGUUCUCCUCGAUGAUGCCACACAAAAAAUUGCAUUAUGAUGAAAAUGACAAAGUAUGUUUUGUUAAUUAAUGAUAGCAUAUGCAUAAGAGCAUUAUUUUUUAUCUUGCUGAUAUAUGUGUUUGCAUUUGUAAUCCAAGUGAAGUCUUAAUUUGGUUGCAAACAUAUUAGACAGCUCCAUCAAAAACAAUCAAUUUGUAAGUACAUGCAUACCAAAUGUUCAAGGUUGCGUAUCAACUUCGAUAUUCUUACAAAAAUCAUUGCAAAACAAUUUAUAUAUAUGAAAAAUCAAAGCUAAGCCAUUUGUUUACGUAAAGCUUGUAUAAACAACAUUAUAAUAUUUUUAUAUAUUAGAAACUUUUUUUUGUGUGUGACAUCAGAAACAUUAUUUAGUUUUGAUGUCAACAUCCAACAGACCCAUGCAUACAUGCAUGCACAUCCUUGCCAUUGCAGGACUUACAAUCGAGCACCAAAUCACAUCACACCAAAACUUGGACAUCCAAAUUAGCUGUGAGCAGCAUCAACUUGUUGAACUACCCUACCUAUAUAUGUACGCAAACACACAUCCUAGGUCCAAGGAACUACUCUACCAAGCCUAGCUAAAAUCAGGAAUUAGAUCAGGACGAGAGCGGAAGAGCAGAUGUGGAUCUGCUAGUGGUGGUAGGAGAGGAGGGCGACGACGCAUCGGCGGAUGAUGUAGAGCCUGGCCUUGUGCUCCCUCAGCAUCCUGCUCGGCCCUCCUGAUCCUGACCUGGAUCCUCUUCCUCCCCGGUGCUUGUUGCCGCCAUGGCUCUUCACCUUGUACUCCAUCUCGAGUUAGAACGAGCGCAGGGUACGUGAUUGAGCUCGCUAGGCUCUGCACUUGCACUGCUACAAGAUGUGGAUCUACCUCUGCUCAUCUGCUGUGUGGCUGUGGGCUUAUGGCCAAAUGCCCAGCGUUUGUAUGCUUAUAUAGCAUGGAAAUGGCGAGCUGGGAGAGAGGGGUGGGCAUGCUUUGCCUACUUGCGCACUCGAUCCCCUCUAAGCGGCGGCUGCCGCGGCCCAGACUAGCGAGGCGCUGCAGCUCCCCGUCCUCGGCCCCGAGCGGGACGACCUAGCACGCGCAGGCCAUGGCAGCUCCGGCGAGCAGGAACUGGCGAGGCCCGCUGAGUCCUGUGACGCAGAGAGGAGGAGAGGUCGGCUGAGGGCUGGGGCGGCCGAUGCGGGAGGCUGUGGCUGGCCUGGCGCGGCUGGUCAACGCGGGGAUCGGGCGAGGCGCUCGACCUGGACCCCGAUCCAGGAGCGAGGCGAGGCGAACGCCCUGCUCGGCUGACCCGAUCCAGAACGGGGCGACGAGGACUGGCAGCAGGGAUCCGCGGCGGAAGGAGACUGGCGGCUGGCGGAGCUUGGGCGGCGGCAGCUGCUGCGCGGUGCGGCGGGGCACCUCAGGCACGGGAGGUCGAGCUGAGGCUGCUCGCUCCGAUGGGGAGGCAGGGAGGCGCAGCUUCGAUGGGUUAUUUUUUUUCUCUUGCACGUACCGAUUCGUUGACUUACCUGAGGAUUGCGGGUUGAUUAGCUAAAUCAACAGGGGCUUUUUUGUAAAAGUCACAUGAUGGACGACAGAGGCAGUCGACGCUUUAUUAUUAGGGAGAGAUAUGUGGAACCAAGUACGCCUAGAAAAAUCAAUAUAAGUGUGCCUUGAGGAAUCCUUGAUUAGUUCAAGUAUAGCGUAUGUCUCGUGGACACCUUCCCUCGGUCUUACAUUAAUGCUCACGAUGUGGACAUGCAUGUGAACAGGAAUCAUGCAUACAUGUACUUCUGCAUACGUGUACUUUAAAACUAAUCCUGAUCAUUCUUUCAAGCUCUUUUUUACUGUUACAUCUUAGCCACUCGUUUUCUAUCGUUUUAAGUAUAUAAUAGAUAGAUAGAUAGCAAACUAUUGUUUUGAAUCUUACGGAUCUGAACAUUCAUGUCACAUGAAAGAAGUUACAGAGGACAACUAUGCUAGGUAGCAUUCCACAUCAAAAAUUCAGUCUUUAUCACUUCCGUGUUCGAGGACGAGCAGGAGUUAAGCUUGGGGAUGCUUGAUACGUCUUCAACGUAUCUAUAAUUUUUGAUAGUUCCAUGCUAUUAUCUUGUCAAACUAUGGAUGUUUUGUAUGCCUUUUAUAUCUUUUUGGGACUAACUUAUUAAGUCAGUGCCAAGUACCAAUUCCUGCUUUUUCCGUGUUUUUGACCCUUUUCAAAGGAGGAUUUUAAACGGUGUCCAAACGAAAUAAAACUUCCAAAAAGAUUUUUUCGGAACAUAAGAUACACACGAGACUUGAGAACCAAGGCAGGGGCCACCAGGGGACCCCACAAGCCCCCUAGGCGCGGCCAGGGGGCCCGCGCCUAGUAGGCUUGUGGGCCCCCUGUGUCUCGUCUGCCCUACCUCUUCCGCCUAUAAAUUCCAAAAAAAUCCAAAACUGCGUGAGAGAUCCACGAAAUACUAUUCGCCACCGCAAUCUUCUGUCUCCGCAAGAUCCCAUCUCGGGCACGUUCUGGUGCCCUGCCGGAGGGGGAUUCGGAUACGGAGGGCUUCUUCAUCAACACCAUGACCUCUCCGAUGAUGCGUGAGUAGUUCAACAUAGACCUUCAGGUCCAUAGCUAGUAGCUAGAUGGCUNNNNNNNNNNNNNNNNNNNNNNNNNNNNNNNNNNNNNNNNNNNNNNNNNNNNNNNNNNNNNNNNNNNNNNNNNNNNNNNNNNNNNNNNNNNNNNNNNNNNUAGGGCGAAUUCAAAUGAAUUUCAAAUUCCAAAUCUAUAUUAUUUAAUAAGGUUAUCCCAAUCAUCAUUUAAUAUGUUUGGUGAUGUUAACAUUUUCAAACAUGUUUUAAAAUAUCAAAAUCAGAUUCCUUGGAUUUUUCUAAUACUUUUUCAUAUAUAAAUUAUUUUAUUUGGAGUUACAGAUUAUUUUCUAUGAUUUUUAGAAGUUUUGGGCAUUUUCUGGAAUUCUUUUAUAACAGAAAAGCUAUUUAUUGCGUCAGGCCCACGUCAGCAUGGCGUCAGCUGUCGGCCUACCUGGUCAGGUCAAACCUGACAGGUGGGGGCCACUGGUCAGCAUCACAGGGCUAAUCCCACGCUGACCAGCCCCUAAGUGAGUUUGACUCGAGACUGGGCCCACUUUCAGCGUCUGUAUAUCGCUUAAACUUGUGGAUUAGCGCGGACAGGUCAUCCCCUGGGGGAGACUGACCGGCGGCGACCAGAUCCGCGGCGGAUCCUCGCCGGAGAGACGCCAGAGAUCGCUGUGGUGCUUGGGAUCGAGUGCCGAGAGCACUGGGAGGAUCCCUAGGCUCGGCCUCAUCCAUUACAGGCUUCAAGAAGGACUGGGAAUGCCCGGAGGUCACCGGCGACAAACUGAGGCGGCAGCCGAAGCUUGGGCUCGUCGUUCUAGUGGCUAGCGUGUAGGAAAUGAGGGGAAGAAGAGGGGAAACACGCGCUAGCUCACGGUGGAGGCGAUGGGAAGCUCAGAUGGCUCGGGGAGGUGUUGUGGACGUCGAAUCAACAGAAGCUUGCCGGCGGCCGGAGGUUGAAGACGACGGCGAUGUGGCACAGCAGAGCUCGGGGAGGUUGAAUGCUUUGGCGUACACGACUAGCUCGACGAGGCGGAGAGAAUGGAGCACUCGGAGGGUCUAUCCUGUGGCUAGAGGGCCCGGGCAGCUCGAGCUCGAGCUUCUGUCAAUGGCAGCACGACGAGAGGGAAGAAACCAAGAGGAGGGGGAGGAAUGGAUAGCGAGGACGGAUAUGGACGUCUCGGGUAGUCAUCCCCGGUGUCACGCUGUCCUGGGGGGCACCGAAGCAUGCCACGGUGAAGCAGCAGGUGGAGGAGUCACCGUGGGCGUUCACUCCUCUACCAGAAGACACGAGGAAGAAGACGCCCCUGCCCGUGUGGGCUGGGCUUCCUCAGGUGAGCGUAGCUUAGGGUUUUUUCCAUUUUUCUUUCUUCAGUUUCUGUUUAUACUUUCUGACAUUUUUAUUUAUUUAUAUUUGGCUCCAAACUAUUCCUAAAGUAGUUUGAAUAAUACUGGAGUGUUAGUUGGAAUAUUUCCAACCACAUAUAAAGUUUUCAACAUUUUUGGAAACUUUGAAAUAUUUGAAAUCAAAUAUAUAAUUGAUUUCAGUAGCUUUUAACUUAAUUUAAAAUGCCAAAAGCAUUUUGAAAAUAUGUUUCACUUCUAAUAUCUUGUUUUUAACAAAUAUCAGAAAAGUUGAACUUUUCUUGAGGCCAUUUUGGGUUCAUUGAUUUUAACAAGCUUUGAAUUUCCUUGAAUUAGAAGUGGCUAGGGUUUUUGGGGUUUUGUUUCACCACUUGAUUUGAAUUUGUUUCAAGUUCUUGAAUGCAAAGAAGGUAAACAUGAGCACAAGGCUAAAACCUAGUUAGGGAUCCAGGGAUGUGACAACUCACCCCCACUCAAAAGAAUCUCGUCCCGAGAUUGAGAAGUCAUCGGGAAUAACGCGGGAUACUCAAGUCAGAGACGAUCCUCUCUUUCCCAUGUUGCCUCCUUUUCAGAAUGAUUUGACCAUUGAACUUUAAGAAACUUGAGGUUUCGACGUCGAGUGGUACGCUCAGCUUGAUCAAGAAUACGCACAGGGUAUUCUCGGUAUGAAAGGUUAUCUUGGAGAUCAAGCGUUUCAUGGUCCACUUCACGGAUAUGAUCCGAAAAGCAACGCGUGAGUUGCGAGACGUGGAAGACAUCAUGAACCUUGGAAAGAUGCGGAGGAAGUUCCAACUGGUAGGCAACUUCUCCUCGUUUGGCAAGAAUGCGAAAAGGACCAAUGUAAUGAGGAGCCAACUUUCCCUUGAUACCGAAUCGAUGGGUACCCUUCAAAGGUGUAACCCGAAGGUAAGCCUUCUCGUCAACUUCAAAGGUCACAACCUUAUGAUGACGAUCAUAUUGGCUCUUUUGACGAGACUGGGCUGUUUUCAACUUUUCACGAAUAAUGCGAACCUGCUCUUCUGCAUCCUGGAUCAUAUCCGGGCCAAAGAGUUGCCUCUCUCCGGUUUCUGAUCAAUUAAGAGGUGUUCGACAUCUUCAUCCAUAGAGAACUUCAAAAGGAGCUUUGCCCAAGCUUGAUUGAUAACUAUUGUUAUAAGCAAAUUCAGCGAAUGGAAGGCACUUCUCCCAAUUCAUACCGAAUGAUAUCACACAAGCUCGGAGCAUAUCUUCUAGGACUUGAUUCACUCUUUCUACUUGACCACUUGAUUGAGGAUGGAAAGCAGUGCUAAAAGAUAAGUGAGUCCCCAUAGCAUUCUGAAAACUUUCCCAGAAGCGAGAAGUAAAGAGACUUCCAUGGUCUGAGUUAAUCUCCAGGGGAACACCAUGAAGAGACACUAUUCGAGAUAUAUAUAUAACUCUGCUAGCUGGCUAGCUAUUAUACUCUCACGAACUGGAAGAAAAUGAGCUACUUUGGAGAGACGGUCAAUGACCACAAAGAUAGCAUUAUUUCCUUUCUUGGUCUUGGGAAAUCCGGUAAUGAAAUCCAUACUGACAUUAUCCCAUUUCCAUUCAGGAAUAGCUAAAGGUUGAAGGGUGCCAGCAGGCCUUUGAUGUUCUGCCUUAACUCGACGACAAACAUCGCAGUUAGCAACGAACUCAGCAAUUCUCUCUUCAUCCUAGUCCAACAAAACCUCUGGCGUAGGUCUUGAUACAUCUUUGUACUACCAGGAUGAAUGGUGAGAGGAGAAUCAUGAGCUUCCUUAAGGAUUAACUGCCUUAGAUGUGGAUUCUUAGGAACCACUAGACGAUUCUGGAAGAACACAACACCUUGAUCAUUCAUGGAGAAUUCAUUAGUGUUUCCGCUAAUAAUAUUCUCCUUGAUCCGAGAUAUACCCUUAUCACGCUUCUGGCCAGCUAUAAUUUGAUCCUUAAGUGUAGGCUUCGCCACCAGGGUAGAAAGGAAUCCUUGAGGAACAAUAUGAAGAUUUAACUUCCGAAAUUCCUCACAGAGAUGUGGUUGACCUCGUUGUACCAUCAAAUUGUUACAAUAAAGAUUCUGACUUAGUGCAUCAGCCAUAACAUUGGCCUUCCCCGGGGUGUAAGUUAUCCCUAAGUCGUAAUCUGUGAUUAACUCAACCCACCGUCUUUGCCUGAGAUUCAAAUCCGGCUGGGUGAAGAUAUAUUUCCGACUUUGGUGAUCAGUGAAUAUUUCGCAACGAUUACCAAGAAGGUAAUGUCGCGAGGUUUUAAGUGCAUGGACUACAGCUGCAAGCUCAAGAUCAUGUGUGGGAUAAUUAUCCUCAUGUGGACGCAUCGAGAUGCGUAUGCAAUCACAUGACGAUCUUGCAUGAGAAUGCAACCUAAUCCUUGUCGCGAGGCGUCGCAAUAGAUAACAAAGUCCUUAGAAAAAUCUGGUGGUAGCAACACAGGUGCGGAAGUCAGGCGUCUUUUCAGUUCCUGAAAACUAUGCUCACACUGUGGUGUCCACUCGAACUUUUUAUCUUUCUUGAGGAGUUCAGUUAGAGGCUUUGCAACCUUGGAGAAAUUCUCGACAAAGCGGCGACAAUAGCUCGCUAGACCAAGAAAACUCCUAACUUGCUUAACCGAUUCAGGUUGAGUCCAAUCAAGGACAGCUUGAACUCUCUCGGGAUUGAUAGCAAUACCCUUACCGGAGAUUACGUGACCUAGAUAGGUCACUUCUGGUAACCAAAAUUCACAUUUUGAAAACUUGGCAUAAAGGCGAUGCUCUCGAAGUUUCAUCAAUACCAGCCUUAGAUGCUCGGCAUGUUCUUGUUCGUUGUUCGAGUAGAUGAGAAUAUCGUCGAGGUAUACUACAACAAAUUUAUCCAAAUACUCCAUGAAGAUUGAAUUUAUCAAGCGAGAGAAGGUGGCUGGGGCAUUGGUUAAACCGAAGGACAUGACGGUGGGAAGCUCACACGGCUCAGGAAGGUGUUGUGGACGUCGAAUCAACAGAAGCUUGCCGGCGGCCGGAGAUUCAAGACGACGGCGAUGUGGCGCAGCAGAGCUCGGGGAGGUUGAAUGCUUUGGCGUACACGACUAGCUCGACGAGGCGGAGAGAAUGGAGCACUCGGAGGGUCUAUCCUGUGGCUAGAGGGCUCGGGCAGCUCGAGCUCGAGCUUCUGUCAAUGGCGGCAGAAGGAGAGGGAAGAGACCGAGAGGAGGGGGAGGAAUGGAUAGCGGGGACGGAUAGGGACGCGCUUGGGGUAGUCAUCCCCGGUGUCGCGCUGUCCUGGGGGCACCGGAGCGCCACGGCGAAGCAGGAGGUGGAGGAGUCGCCGUGGGCGUUUACUCCUCUGCAAGAAGGCAGGAGGAAGAAGACGCCCCUGCCCUUGUGGGCUGGACUUCCUCAGGUGAGCGUAGCUUAGGGUUUUUUCCAUUUUUUUUCUUUCUUCAGUUUCUGUUUAUACUUUCUGACAUUUGUUUUUAUAUAUUUUUGGCUCCAAACUAUUCCUAAAAUAGUUUGAAUAAUACUGGAGUGUUAGUUGGAAUAUUUCCAACCACAUAUAAAGUUUUCAACAUUUUUGGAAACUUUGAAAUAUUUGAAAUCAAAUAUAUAAUUGAUUUCAGUAGCUUUUAACUUAAUUUAAAAUGCCAAAAGCAUUUUGAAAAUAUGUUUCACUUCUAAUAUCUUGUUUUUAACAAAUAUCAGAAAAGUUGAACUUUUCUUGAGGCCAUUUUGGGUUCAUUGAUUUUAACAAGCUUUGAAUUUCCUUGAAUUAGAAGUGGCUAGGGUUUUUGGGGUUUUGUUUCACCACUUGAUUUGAAUUUGUUUCAAGUUCUUGAAUGCAAAGAAGGUAAACAUGAGCACAAGGCUAAAACCUAGUUAGGGAUCCGGGGAUGUGACAUGUGGGCUCCCAGCUGGCCCUCUGGCUCCCCUCUUUUGCCUCAAGAAGGGUUUCGCUCCAGAAAAAAUCAGGAGGAGGCUUUCGGGAGGAUCUCCGCCGCUACGAGGCGGAACUUGAGCAUAACAAAUCUAGAGCUCCGAUAGGACGAUCCUGCCGGGGAAACUUCCCUCCCGGAGGGGGAAAUCAUCGCCAUCGCCAUCACCAACACUCCUCUCAUCGGAGGGGACUCAUCACCAUAAACAUCUUCAUCAGCACCAUCUCAUAUCCAAACCCUAGUUCAUCUCUUGUAACCAAUCUCCAUCUCGCGACUUCGAUUGGUACUUGUAAGGUUGCUAGUAGUGUUAAUUACUCUUUGUAGUUGAUACUAGUUGGAUUACUUGGUGGAAGAUUAUAUGUUAAGAUCUUUGAUGCUACUCAUUAGCUCUCUGGUCAUGAAUAUGAUUAUGCUUUGUGAGUAGUUACUUUUGUUCCUGAGGACAUGGGAUAAGUCUUGCUAUAAGUAGUCAUGUGAAUUUGGUAUUCGUUCGAUAAUUUGAUGUGUUGUAUGUUGUUUUUCCUCUAGUGGUGUUAUUUGAACGUCGACUACAUAACACUUCACCAUUAUUUGGGCCUAGAGGAAGGCAUUGGGAAGUUGUAAGUAGAUGAUGGGUUGCUAGAGUGACAGAAGCUUAAACCCUAGUUUAUGCGUUGCUUCGUAAGGGGCUGAUUUGGAUCCACUAGUUUAAUGCUAUGGUUAGACUUUGUCUUAAUUCUUCUCUCGUAGUUGCGGAUGCUUGCGAGAGGGUUUAAUCAUAAGUGGGAUGAUUGUCAAAGUAAGGGCAGUACCCAAGCGCCGGUCCACCCACAUAUCAAACUAUCAAAGUAGCUAACGCGAAUAAUAUGAACACGAUGAAAACUAGCUUGACAGAAAUUCCCAUGUGUCAUCGGGAGCGUUUUACCUCCUAUAAGAGUUUGUCCAGGCUUGUUCCUUCCUACAAAAGGGAUUGGGCCACUUUGCUGCACCGUUGUUACUUUUGUUACUUGCUACUUGCUAUGAAUCAUCUUGUCACACAACUACUUGUUACCGAUAAUUUCAGUGCUUGCAGAGAAUACCUUGCUGAAAACCACUUGUCAGAUCCUUCUACUCCUCGUUGGGUUCGACACUCUUACUUAUCAAAAGGACUACAAUAGAUCCCCUAUACUUGUGGGUCAUCAAUGAUCUACUCCUGCAGGGCUCCGCCCGAGCUCCGCAAAAAUCCGAUCUAGAGGUAAAACUAUGUGGAAUAAGCUAGAGUUGCAUGUGGCAAAGUUGUGUCUCAAAAAGCCCUAAACCACCAAUAUAUAUAGGAGGAGGGGAGGGGCUAGCCUUGGGGCACAAGGGCACCAAGGGUGCACCGGCCGCCACGUAGGAGGAGGACUCCUCCUCCAAUUCAAUUUGGGAAGGAGGAGUCCUCCUCUUCCUUCCUUUGGUAGUUUUACAUGUGGCGCCAUAGCCCUCUUGGGCUGACUCCACUAGCCCACUAAGGACUUGGUGCGCCACCCUAGGGCCUUGGGCUUACUCCCGGGUGGGUGGGCCCCUCCCGGUAAACACCCGGAACCCAUUCGUCACUCCCGGUACACUGUCGAAAUUGCCCGAAACUUUCCGGUGACCAAAUGAAACCAUCCUAUAUAUCAAUCUUCGUUUCCGGAAUGUAGUGGGUAUAAGUGUGACAGUAGAUGUGUAGGGUACGAAAGGGUGGGCAGAGCCUUAGCUACGACGAGGUUGUAUGAGUUCAGGUCCCUCUACGGUGGAGGUAAAAGCCCUACGUCUCAGUGCUCUUGGGAGCUUGAUGUCGAGUGGAAUAUGGAUUACAAUGAAUUGCUAACCCCUGCACCAGUGGGGAAGGGCGACUUAUAUAGAGUGCGCUGCCCUUCACAACGGUUCAGUGCACAGGGGUGGAGUAGUGGCGAUUAAAUGUGUACGUUACAGGUAACGUAUGCCUUAAAUGCUAAUAAAGGUACAUGAAAACGUAUGACCGUUGCCCUCCAGGGGGGUUACGAUGUAUAGAGUGGAAUCCAGUCGGUAAGUUUGAUACGCUCCGAAUGCUCAUCUCCGACUGGAUGAUGGAGGAAUCUUCACCGACUGGAUGAUGGGAAGUCCUUAAUUCAGUCGGAACUGAGUAAGGGCCUUGUCCCUUAUGAAGGGUAGUCCUUGCGUAGGACCUAUAGGGCAGGCGUAUGACCCUACCCUAGGACUAUAACCCCAUCAUUAGUCCCCGAAUGGAUCGGGGUUGGAACAACGAAGCGAUGCUUGGAGUACGGAUCUGACUAGUAUGGAUGCGACUUUGGCGUUGUUUGCCUUGAUCCAUUUUAUCCUCUUGACCAGUGAUCCAAGUGGAUAUAUCUAUGAAACGAACCGUCAGAGACCGAGUGCUUUCGUGGAAUCUUUUGACGUGACCGGUCAACUGACAGCGGCGGAUUUUCUGGGAUCCUCAAAUUUCGGUUGCCGCGCGCUCAGCGGGGAUGACGACAUCGUCAUCGAGUAGUAUCUGCCGCCUCGAUUUCCGCGCCUUCAUCUCCUCCACUAAUAUCGCAGCAACCGGUCGGGGGAUAAGAUUUCGGGGCCACCUGCUAGUGACCCAAUCGGAACCUUAUUUAAACCUCUCCAGCGAGGGUUUCUCGUUGCACUCGCCUGAUAACUCGCACUCGCCCCGCUUCUCCCGUGGCUUCCUGCGCACCCCAAGCUCCUUCCUUCUUCUCCUCCUCCGUGGAUCUGCAGCCUCCACCAUGACGAAGGGGCGGACGAGCAAGCUCGAGGCGCGGAAGAAGAAGAAGACGGCGGCUCCCGCUCAACGGCGACAGCGGGCACUGCCGGCGGGUUGGAUCCAGGGGGAUUUCCUCCCCUCCACGGUGACGAAGAGCGACAUGCUGGAGCUGGUGGAGCAAGGCCUGAUCGAGAACAAGACGUGGAGGCUGCCGGCAGAGGGCGAGAUGGAGCCGGCGCCCCAGGAGGGGGAGCGCGUCUUGCUGCUCAGUCACGUGUACCGAGGCUUCUCUCUACCUCCUCAUCCCUUCUUCAGAGGUAUAAUGAACCACUUCGGGGUGCAGCUCCACCAUUUUCCUCCCAACGCAAUAGCUCAUCUCUCUGCCUUCGUCGUGCUUUGCGAGUGUUUUAUCGGUUGUCCUCCUCAUUGGGGGCUCUUAAGCACAUCUUCUCCGCUAGAUCCCAAACCAUCAAAAGACUUAGCCAGUCGGACGACAAAACUCAUCUCCUCCAGCUCUGCGGAGGCUUGGGCUUCUAGAAGAAAAGAAAAAGUAGCUAUCCCGCUCUUCAGUUGUCUGAAUCCGUUAGCAACUGGCAGUCGACUUGGUUCUACUGCCAGGACGUCGCUUGUUCGAAUGCCGCAACUGGACUGCCACUGUUUAGCCUAGACCGACCGGCUCCGCCUAGGCAGCUUGCACUCACGAAGAUGGAAAAGAUCCAGAUUCAGCCUCUAGUCGACGUGCUGGUAGAUGUCGUCCGCAAGGGAGUCACCGGCAUAGAUUUGCUGGAGAUUUUUCUGGGUUGGCGUAUCUAGCCUUUGCAAGCUCGACACCACGCCAUGUGGCACUACAUGGGGCCUGAGGACUCCACUCGGACUCACCCCGAGUGCAUGACUGAGGAAGUUGUGACGACGUGGGUCCGCGACAUCAUAGGCGCCUGCGAUAACCCCAGAGGAGCCCGGCGAGUGAAGCCCUUCCGCACGGACAACCCUCCUCCGAAUGAGGUGAGUAUAACUUGUCAAGUGCUCACAAUUGUCUUAGAUUUAUCGCUUUUUCUUGUACCACUGUCUGACGUCUGACGUUGUCGACUGUAUCUCGUGCAGGCAUGGACUAACUGGUUUUCUCCCGUCUCAAACGGGAAUCCGGCUGAGGAAGAGGAAGGCAGCCAGGAGGGCAGCCUGGAGAGCGCCGAGGACGUCUCCGACAGUGGGGAGACGGAGGAGGAGUCCGAAGAGGAGGAGGGGGAAGAUGAGGAGUAGAGCUUGCCACCGCCACCACCAGAGCCUCGAACUAAGCGCCGCCAUGAACCUGUGACUCCGUCGGCUCCCCCAGCGGCUCCGAGUGCCCCGCCAGCUCCUCCUGUGGUUCCGGGCGCCUUGCCAGCUACUCUCGUGGCUCCGAGCGCCUUGCCAGCUACUCNNNNNNNNNNNNNNNNNNNNNNNNNNNNNNNNNNNNNNNNNNNNNNNNNNNNNNNNNNNNNNNNNNNNNNNNNNNNNNNNNNNNNNNNNNNNNNNNNNNNNNNNNNNNNNNNNNNNNCGCCUUGCCAGCUACUCCCGUGGCUCCGAGUGCUCGGAGCACAAAGAGGACUAGGGACGCUGCUGCUGAGCCCGCGGGCCAACCUCCCAAGGUGGCUAAACCGAGUGGAUCCAAGCCUCGGAAGGCUCUGCCNNNNNNNNNNNNNNNNNNNNNNNNNNNNNNNNNNNNNNNNNNNNNNNNNNNNNNNNNNNNNNNNNNNNNNNNNNNNNNNNNNNNNNNNNNNNNNNNNNNNNNNNNNNNNNNNNNNNNNNNNNNCCUCGGAAGGCUCUGCCUCGAAUGAGGAUCGCCGUUCCCGUUGCCUCAGUGUAAGUGUCUCGUUCUCCUAUCUUCUUUCAGUAUUUGAUUGAACUCAUGUUUAUUGGUCGAGUGGAUUUUACUCGACAGAGCUGCUACCUCCGCCACUUCUCCGCCACGCCAGGAAGACGAUCCCAUGGAUACGGACAACGUUGCCACAUCCCAGCAAGGUACGUCGUGGCGACUCCGAGAGCUUACAUUAUUGUUGCACGAAUUCUGUCUUUGAUCUUUCCCUUUUUCCUAUGGUCUCACGUCGUUCGGUUGGGCUUCCUUCAGAGGUGAUUCAUGUGGAGGAGGACAACCAGAAGAGGACCGACCAAGCUGCGGUGCCUGUCCUUGAGGCUGUUCCAUCUGCUACUACUCCCACCAUGGACGCGCCGCCAACCGAGACGAUGUCGUCGACUGAAACGGCGCUCAUCGCUGCUGAACNNNNNNNNNNNNNNNNNNNNNNNNNNNNNNNNNNNNNNNNNNNNNNNNNNNNNNNNNNNNNNNNNNNNNNNNNNNNNNNNNNNNNNNNNNNNNNNNNNNNNNNNNNNNNNNNNNNNNNNNNNNNNNNNNUGAACCGACUGGAGCAGGACUUGGGAUGCCCAAGGAGUCUCUUGUGGUGCCAGGUCUGUCGACCGUCCAGUACGACGCCCAACGCCUCCCAGAAGAUCAUGGUGCAGGCGGAGUUGAUAGCGGGUGAUGCCAAGCGUGCGUACCACUCUAUCGCGUUCUGUGUACAAGCGAAGCUUGGAACUCCGGGACGAUAUCCGAGUAAGUGGGCUAGUAAGUAUUUACUUUCCUCUUGUAACCCAGUGGGUGUUUAAGUAAUAUACUCGGAUGCAGUAUGAUUAUUUUGUAGUGGGUUCACUCUUAGUGAACCCNNNNNNNNNNNNNNNNNNNNNNNNNNNNNNNNNNNNNNNNNNNNNNNNNNNNNNNNNNNNNNNNNNNNNNNNNNNNNNNNNNNNNNNNNNNNNNNNNNNNNNNNNNNNNNNNNNNNNNNNNNUCACUCUUAGUGAACCCAGUGGGUGUAGUCCCCGAGACUUCUGUCGAGUGCUUGCACCGGCAGUUGUCUUUAUAUACAUUUUCUUUAACUUGAUCAGAUCAAAACUAAUCUGUUCGAGUGUUAUCGGUGGGGGCACUCCGAGUGCACCUACUGGAAGUAGUCCCCGAGAGUAAUUUUACUCAGGUCGGGUAGUAGUAGCCUCAUAGGCUUGUUUUUGUUAUUUAGCUCAAUAGGGCGGACCUGUCUGAGCUUCAUGGCAGUGGGGUCACUCUUAGUGAACCCACUGGGUGUAGUCCCCGAGGCCGCUGUCGACUGCUCGCGUCGGCAGGGGUCUGAAGAACCUCGAGCUUUUAUUGUUUUCCUUGUUGAAUUUGUCUGAUCUUCUCUUCGCGCUGAUUUGCAGAAGACUUGCGAGAUGGGAUCAGCGUACAACGCUCUGAAGACUGAAAAGAUUCAGCUUGCUGCGAAACUGGAGGCAGCUGUUCAUGACUUGGAUGGUGUGAAGGGCGCUCUGGCGGAACGAGAGAAGUCCUUGGAGGAGUCCCCUGAGGCAAACAAGGCAUUGGUGGCCGAAAUGGAGAAAAUGGGGAAACAAAGAACCGAGCUGAUGGGACAGAUGAAGGUGAUGAACAGGCGGUGCAUAUCAUAGGAGAAGUACGUCAGUGACUGGGCAAAGAAGAUGAUUGCGCUUCUCAGUGGUAAGUUCUGUUUUUCCGAGUGCUUCUUGACUGUGUAUUUCAUUCUGGCUUACUUUGUGCUCGUCUUGUCUUUGCAGAUUUUUGUAUGGACGCUGAGGCUGAAGCAGCUGAUGUUGAGCGGUCGGUUAUUCCGAACGUUCCACUCGGUGACGACGCCAAUCGAGACAUGCUCCGAGCGCAUAUUCGCCUGGGCAAAGUGGGACCUUUCAUCGGUCGACUGAGAGAGGUGGUCGGCCGAAUCGACAAGGAGCUGUGGCCCGGAGACGAAUCCCGGCGAGAGAUGGAAGGGUUGAUGACUCGGCUGGAGGACGUCCCGAACCGAGUGCAGGCGUGGAAGAAGUCUGCUGCUCGCUGUGGUGCGGACGUGGCGCUGUCGCUGGUCCGAGUGCACUGCAAGGAGGCUCGUGAAGAGAAGCUGAAGGCGUUGCAAGUUGCUAACACCAAGAAGCUUUGAUUCGAAGAUUUCAUGGAGACCUUCCUUGAGAGCGCCACUCGCAUCACAGACGGGAUCGACCUCGACACUUUCGUGGAGCCUGCCAGUCCUGACGAUGCUUGAAAAAACUUUACCUCGGUAUGCCGAGUGGUAGUUGUAUCAAACUUUGGCCACUGCUGUUGGCCGUCACGUUCGUGGUUCGGUGUGGAUAAGCUUGAUCUACACCGAACCGACUAUCUUUAAACCAACUUUGAAUUUGAAUCUAAUAUUUUGCUCUUCCUUUGCCAAAUAAUUGUUGACACGAUUUUGGCUCGUGGUUUUUGUUUGGCGUUUCUUGGUGAAGCCAGUGGCAAACAUGCGGAGCAUGUAGUUGUCAGUUGUCUUGGCAUUUGCAUGAGCCUCAAUGAGGGUCUGCUAAGUCUCCGAGUGGAUCUGUAGGAUACAGUCGAAGGCAAUUGUUUACUUAGGCGAUUCGUGAUCGCAGCUAAGUCUUCGAGCGCGACUGUAAAGUCGUACUCGGAGCGAGUUGCUACUCAUGUAAGUGUGAGUUGUCUUGGCAUCUACAUGAGCCUCGAUGAGGGUCUGCUACUCAUGUAAUUGUCAGUUGUCUUGACAUCUACAUGAGCCCCAAUGAGGGUAGUUGGUAACCUCCGAGUGGAUCUCUAAGAUACACUCGAAGGAAACUUUUUUACUUAGGCGAUUCUUGAUCGCAAACAAGUGUCCGAGUGUGACGGUUAGAGCGCACUCAGAGAAAGUUGUUGUUUAGGUGAUUCUGGAUCGCAGCUAAGUCCCCGAGAGCGACGUGUAGUGCACACUCGGAGAAGGUUGGUACUUAGGCGAUUCUUGAUCGCAGCUAAGUCCUCGAGUGCGACGUGUAGUCCACACUCGGAGAAAGUUGGUACUUAGGCGAUUCUUGAUUGCAGCUAAGUCCNNNNNNNNNNNNNNNNNNNNNNNNNNNNNNNNNNNNNNNNNNNNNNNNNNNNNNNNNNNNNNNNNNNNNNNNNNNNNNNNNNNNNNNNNNNNNNNNNNNNNNNNNNNNNNNNNNNNNNNNNNNNNNNNNNNNNNNNNNNNNNNNNNNNNNNNNNNNNNNNNNNNNNNNNNNNNNNNNNNNNNNNNNNNNNNNNNNNNNNNNNNNNNNNNNNNNNNNNNNNNNNNNNNNNNUAGUGCACACUCUUUUUUUUUAGACCGGAGUCUGCAAAUGCGAAAGAAUUUUGCAUCUGCAAAAACUCAAUCUGCUUUGUAUUACUUCAACGAUACUUGUUCUUUACAUUACUUCAGUCGACGGUCACGUGUAGAAGCGCUUCAGGAGAUCCCCGUUCCGUGCUCUCGGCUCGUCCGUUUCCCUAUCGAGGUUGUAGAGUCGAUAUGCUCCGUUGUUGAGCACCUUGGAGAUGAUGAAGGGUCCUUCCCAAGCGGGAGCCAACUUGUGAGGUCUCUGCUGAUCCACUCGGAGCACCAGGUCGCCUUCUUGGAAUGUACGACUCCUGACGUGUCGCGCGUGAAAGCGCCGCAGAUCUUGUUGAUAAAUGGUUGAGCGAGUCAGUGCCAUCUCGCGCUCCUCCUCUAGAAGAUCCACUCCGUCUUGCCUUGCUUGCUCUGCUUCAGCUUUGGAGAAUAGUUCAACUCGUGGAGCAUUGUGAAGCAAGUCACUCGGAAGGACUGCCUCUGCUCCGUAAACGAGGAAGAACGGGGAUCGCCCUAUAGAUCUAUUUGGGGUUGUGCGGAGACCCCACAGCACCGAAGGCAGCUCGGUGACCCAUGCGCCGGCAGCAUGUCCCACUUCUCGCAGGAGUCGAGGCUUCAAACCUUGCAGAAUAAGUCCAUUCGCCCGCUCUGCUUGCCCGUUUGUUUGGGGAUGCGCCACAGAUGCAAAAUCCACUCGGAUACCUUGGCAUGUACAGAAACCUUUGAAUCUGUCCGAGUCAAAGUUUGUGCCAUUGUCAUUGAUUAUGUUGUGCGGUAUCCCGAAUCUGGAGAUGAUGUCCCUGACAAACUUGAUGGCUGUAAGGGCGUCGAGCUUCUUGAUGGGCUUGGCUUCAAUCCACUUUGUGAACUUGUCGACUGCCACCAAUACAUGUGUGAAUCAACCUUGGCCUGUCCUGAAUGGACCGACUGUAUCUAAUCCCCACACUGCAAACGGCCAAACAAGAGGGAUUGUCUUCAACGCAGAUGUUGGCUUGUGGGACUUGUUAGAGUAAAACUGACAGCCUUCGCAUCGGUCGACCAUAUCCUUUGCCAUUUCAUUCGCCUGCAACCAGAAGAAACCGGCUCUGAAUGCUUUGGCGACGAUUGCCCUUGAGGAGGCGUGAUGACCGCAGGUUCUCGAGUGAAUUUCUUCCAGGAUUAACUGUCCCUCCUCAGGGGAGAUGCAUCAUUGAAGGAUGCCUGAAACGAUUUCCUUGUACAACUCGCCAUCAAUGACAGUGAACGACUUUGACCUGCGGACGAUCUGUCUGGCUUGGACUACGUCUUUUGGUAAUUCUUGCCUCAGAAUGUAUGCAAUGAACGGCACAGUCCAAUCGGGGAUGAUAGCAAGAAUCUCCAUGAUCAAAUCAACCACAGUAGGGACUUCGACUUAAGUCGGAUCUGUCGAGCUCUUUGGUUGUACUGGUUCCUCUGUGAAAGGAUCUUCUUUAACUGAGGGAAGGUGAAGGUGCUCGAGGCAGACGUCACUCGGGACUGGUCCCCGAGUGGAUCCAAGUUUCGCCAAUUCAUCAGCUGCUUGGUUUUUCAGUCGCGGAACAUGGUGGAGUUCCAGACCUUCAAUCUUUUUCUCGAACUUCCUCACUGCAUUGCAAUAUGUGGUCAUGGUGGGAUUCCUUACGUCCCACUCCUUCAUCACUUGAUUAGCUACCAAAUCUAAAUCACCGUAGACCAUCAGGCGACGGACGCCGAGUGCGAUGGCCAUGCGCAAUCCAUAAAGGAGAGCCUCAUACUCUGCCUCAUUGUUGGAGGAAUCGAAGUGUAUCUGCAACACAUACUUGAGUUUGUCACCCUUUGGUGAUAUGAUCACAACGCCAGCGCCGGAGCCAUUCAACAUCUUGGACCAAUCGAAAAACAUUGUCCAAUGAGCCGAGUAGAUGUGGGUCGGUUGCUGUUGUUCUACCCAUUCUGCUAUGAAGUCAGCCAGAGCUUGAGACUUUAUAGCUUUCUUGGCCUCGAACUUGAUGCCGCAGUAUAACAUCUCCAUCGCCCACUUCGCCACUCGGCCCGAUGCGUCCCGAUUGUGGAGGAUUUCCGACAACGGAGCAUUAGAAACGACAAACACCGAGUGGUCUUGGAAAUAAUGAGCCACCUUCUUCGCAGUCAUGUAAAUCCCGUAGAUAAGUUUUUGAUAGUGGGGAUACCUCUGCUUGGAAGGAGUCAGGACUUCGGAGACAUAAUACACUGGUCGCUGAACCUUGUAUGCUUUGCCUUCUUCUUCGCGUUCGACUGUGAGAACAGUGCUGACGACUUGAUUUGUAGCCGCGAUGUACAGAAGAAGGGGUUCUUUACUGAGCGGAGCAGGAAGAACCGGCUGGGUGGAAAGUAGGACUUUGAGGUUGUCGAAUGCAAUUUGGGCUUCGUCUGUCCACUCGAAAGUAUCUGAUUUCUUCAUGAGUCGGUACAGAGGAAGUGCCUUCUCGACGUCGACUAAUAAACCUGCUCAAAACCGCUAGGCAACCUGUGAGCCUUUGAACAUCGUGUAUUCUAACCGGCCGCUCCAUUCGGACGAUGGUCCCGAUCUUUUCGGGGUUGACAUCGAUCCCUUGUUCGGAAACGAAGAAACCGAGUAACUUUCCGCUGGGAACACCGAAUGAACACUUGGCUGGGUUGAGCUUGAUAUCGUACCUACGAAGGUUGGCGAAUGUUUCUGCCAAGUCAGUCAGCAGGUCGGAACCUUUGCGUGACUUGACUAUGAUAUCAUCCAUAUACGCCUCCACAUUUCGACCGAUCUGGUCAAGGAGGCAUUUUUGGAUCAUGCGCAUAAAGGUUGCUCCUGCAUUCUUCAAAUCAAAUGGCAUGGUGAUGUACCAGAAGCACCCGAAUGGGGUGAUGAAGGCUGUUUUUAAUUCAUCGGGGCCAUACAGACGGAUCUGAUGGUAGCCCGAGUAGGCAUCAAGGAAUGACAAAUGCUCGCAACCCGCAGUCGAAUCGACAAUUUGAUCGAUGCGGGGGAGCGGGAAAUGGUCUUUCGGGCAGACCUUAUUGAGAUGCUUGAAGUCGAUGCACAUUCGGAGAGACUUGUCCUUCUUGGGCACCAUGACAACAUUGGCGAGCCACUCGGAGUGGUGUACCUUGCGAAUGAAGUUGGCUGCCAAAAGCUUAGCCACCUCUUCUCCGAUUGCCUUCCUCUUGUGCGCGGCGGACUAACAAAGGCGUUCUUGGACAGGCCGAGCAACAGGAUCCACAUGCAGUCGGUGCUCAGCCAACUCCCUGGGUACACCUCGCAUAUCAGCGGGCUUCCAUGCAAAAAUGUCCCAGUUCUCACAGACGAAUUGGAUGAGCUCGGCUUCCUAUUUAGGAUCGAGGGUGGUGGAGAUGUUUGUCGGGGUAGCAGCGUCGUCUGUCAGGUGGAUGCUGACCUUCUUCGUUUCUCCCGCCGACUGGAAUGCGGAUUUCGAAGGUGGCUUCUUCGAACGCAUCAAGUCAGCGGGGUCGACUGUCUUCUUGUACUCGUCAAGCUCAAGGACAGCCAUCUGCUGAUCGGCGAUCCUCGAUCCCAGCUGCAGACACUCCUCGGCCGCUGCCGAUUGCCUGUGAUAGUGAUCACACCUUUUGGGCCUGGCAUCUUCAGCUUCAGGUACACGUAACAUGGACGGGCCAUGAAACGCGUAUAUGCCGGUUGGCCCACAAUUGUGUGGUACGCACUCUGGAAGUCCACCACCUCGAACGUCUGUUUUUCCUUGCAGAAGUUCUUGUCGGAGCCGAAGACGACGUCCAACGCGAUCUGGCCGAGUGACUUGGCCUUUUGUCCAGGGACGACUCCAUGGAGCUGCAUGCUGCUCUCGCUAAGUUUGGAAAUCGGAAUGCCCAUCCCCUUGAGAGUGUCAGCGUACAUGAUGUUCAAGCCGCUGCCGCCGUCCACGAGGACUUUGCGCAAUCGGACUCCUUCCACCACCGGGUCGACGACCAAGGCCUGCCUCCCUGGGGUGGGUACGUGUGCUGGAUGAUCCGACUGGUCAAAGGUGAUCGCAGUCUGAGACCAUUUGAGGAACGUGGGAUUGGUCGGGGUGGCCAUGUUCACCUCCAUGUUCAUCAACUUCAGUCGACUCUUGCUUUCAACGUCAGCAAAAAUCAUCAGUGUGGCAUAGACUUGGGGGAACGGAUCCUCCUUGUCCUCCUCAUCCUGUUCAUUGUCCUUUUCAGUCGGCUACCCUUCGCCGAACCCUUGGAUCAGGAGGCCACAUUGCCGAGUGGUAUGCUUCGGAAAUAUGGCGUUGCCCUCUUCAUCCAUCUUCGUGUGGAUUGGACAUGGAUGGUCCAGGAUGUGGUUUCCGAACUGCUUCUUCUUGGGGGUGGAAUGAGCCUUCCCCUUGCCCUUGAACUUGGCAUUGGUAACGGCUGUGGCCUCUGCCUGCGGAGUGGACGGAGCUUUCUGCUUCUGCUUCCGAGUGUUGUUCCCAUCUCCAUCGGCGACUUCUUUGUGCUUGCCGCUACGAAUGCGGUCCUCUUCUUCGCCAUUUGCAUAGCGUGCCGCUAUCUCCAUCAUCUUGCUCAUGGAGAUGUCGCAUGUUCGACCGAACUUUAGGUACAGAUCUCUGUACCGCACGCCUGCCUUGAAGGAGCAAACUGCUUGGUGCUCUGUGACGUUCUCCACCGUGUGGUAGAGGGUUGUCCAACGUUGGAUGAAAUCGCACAGGGGCUCAUUCUGCUUCUGGACACAGUGCUGGAGCUCCACGAGACCAGCAGGGCGUUUGCACGUCCCCUCGAAGGUCCCGAUGAAGACUCGGGCCAGAUCUGCCCAACUGUAGAUGCUUGAAGGAGCCAACUGGUUCAGCCACGCUCGUGCCGAGCCAUCGAGCAUCAGGGGGAGAUGUUUCAUGGCGACCUGGUCAUCUCCACCGCCGAUCUGGACUGCCACUCGGUAGUCGUCCAGCCACGUUUCUGGCUUGGAUUCUCUCCUGUAAACUUGUUGAUUCCCGUCGCCAAUCGGAAGUUGGGAGGGAUGUCAGCCGAACGGAUGGCUCGACUGAAACACUCGGGGCCAGAGACAAUGGUCCUACUUCCACUCGAACGGUCUAUAUCAUGACCAUCGCGGUGGGCCCGGCCCCUGUCGACCCUCCUCUGGGCGAUAUAUCCUCUUGCGUCGGGCCUUGGAUCAUAAGUGUCACCGACCGAACGCCGAUCAUCAUGAUGUCGGGGCCCGUAGGGCCCACCCCACGGAGGGGUGCGUGAACGGCGACGAUCUUCGGGAUUCAUGGAACGGUUGCCUCCCCUAUGUCGCUGAUGAGAACCGGGGCUGUGAACUGACCAAUGCGUGUUCGCGCGAACAGAACUAUUGUGGAUCCUGUUUUGCGACUGGGAGACUGCCGAAUUUUGCUGCUGCGCCAUGUGCAGCAGGGCGCGGAUCUGCUCGAUCCCUCUGCCAGCCUCUGAAUCAGUUGGCUGGAGGGAAUCGGCUAUCUUGGCAGCGGCAGCCAGGUUGAGGACAGGUGUGCGGAACACCUCCACGUUGGUGUGACGAGUGCGCCGACUGGCAGAACGGCGGGGCUGACGGCGCGCGCCGGAUGUUUCGCCGACCUCGUGCUCGUUCCGGCCGGUUUGGCGGGGACUUUCAUGGGAGUUGGCCAUGUGCACUUCGGCUGCAGGCCCGCGACCCAAGUACUCGGAAGGAAACUCAGUCGGAACUGAGUCCGAGCGCUCGGACGGCGGCGCAACUACAACCGACUCGAGGACCGCCACUUGUGAAGACGCGCUCUGGCGCGCCUGGGCAUGUUGCACCCAACGCUGGAGCCGUGGACGGCGAGACCGCUUGUUGCGGCGCGUAAGGGGGGCGAAGGUCGACACCAGAGCCGACUGCUGGAGAAGAAGGAUGCCGCGGGCGCCGGCACGGAACUGCGUAGCCCUGCGACUGGGAGCGCCUCGACGUCGAGAAGAGCAUCCCGAAGCCAUGCCGAAUCGUCGACGAUGAAGGAGAGAGCGCCGAAGAGGAUCUCAUGAACCAUGCACAAAUCUCCACCGCGCGACAAGAUGAAAAGAUGUAGUCGCAAACUCGCCGAAAGUCGCUUAGACGCCUGCCCCAUGGUGGGCGCCAACUGUCGUGGGUAUAAGUCUGACAGUAGAUGUGUAGGGUACGAAAGGAUGGGCAGAGCCUUAGCUACGACGAUGUUGUAUGAGUUCAGGCCCCUCUGCGAUGGAGGUAAAAGCCCUACGUCUCAGUGCUCUUGGGUGCUUGAUGUCGAGUGGAAUAUGGAUUAAAUUGAAUUGCUAACCUCUGCACCAGUGGGGAAGGGCGACUUAUAUACAGUGCGCUGCCCUUCACAACGGUUCGGUGCACAGGGGUGGAGUAGUGGCGAUUAAAUGUCUACGUUACAGGUAACGUAUGCCUUAAAUGCUAAUAAAGGUACAUGAAAACGUAUGACCGUUGCCCUCCAGGGGGGUUACGAUGUACACAGUGGUAUCCAGUCGGUAAGUUUGAUACGCUCCGAUUGCUCAUCUCCGACUGGAUGAUGGAGGAAUCGUCACCGACUGGAUGAUGGGAAGUCCUUAAUUCAGUCGGAACUGAGUAAGGGCCUUGUCCCUUAUGAAGGGUAGUCCUUGGGCAGGACCUAUAGGGCAGGCCUAUGACCCUACCCUAGGACUAUAACCCCAUCACGGACCAUUUCAAAAACCCUCGUGACGUCUGUGAUGUCAUCCGGGACUCCGAACAACAUUCGGUAACCACACAUAUAACUCAACUAUACUAAAACAUCAUCGAACCUUAAGUGUGCAGAACCUGCGGGUUCGAAAACUAUGUAGACAUGACACGAGACACUCCUCGGUCAAUAUCCAAUAGCAGGACCUGGAUGCCCAUAUUGGAUCCUACAUAUUCAUCGAAGAUCUUAUCGGUUGAACCUCAGUGCCAAGGAUUCAUAUAAUCCCAUAUGUCAUUCCCUUUGUCCUUUUGUAUGUUACUUGCCCGAGAUUCGAUCGUCGGUAUCCGCAUACCUAUUUCAAUCUCGUUACCGGCAAGUCUCUUCACUCGUUCUGCAAUACAAGAUCCCGUGACUUACACUUAGUCACAUUUCUUGCAAGGCUUGUUUGUGAUGUUGUAUUACCGAGUGGGCCCCGAGAUACCUCUCCGUCACACGGAGUGACAAAUCCCAGUCUUGAUCGAUACUAACUCAACGGACACCUUCGGAGAUACUUCUAGAGCACCUUUAUAGUCACCCAGUUAUGUUGCGACGUUUGAUACACACAAGGUAUUCCUCUGGUGACAGUGAGUUAUAUGAUCUCAUGGUCAUAGGAAUAAAUACUUGACACGCAGAAAAUAAUAGCAAUAAAAUGACACGAUCAAUAUGCUACGUUCAUAGUUUGGGUCUAGUCCAUCACAUGAUUCUGCUAAUGAUGUGAUCCAGUCAUCAAGUGACAACACUUGCAUAUAGUCGGAAAACCUUGACUAUCAUUGAUCAACUAGCUAGCCAACUAGAGGCUUGCUAGGGACAUUGUUUUAUCUAUGUAUCCACACAUGUAUCUAUGUUUUCAUUCAAUACAAUUAUAGCAUGGAUAAUAAACUAUUAUCUUGUAACAGGAAAUAUAAUAAUAACUAUUUUAUCAUUGCCUCUAGGGCAGAUUUCCAACAGCGGCGUGGCGGCAGGAGCUGACAUGGGAGGCGCUGAUAGAGACGGCAUAGGAGGACAAGCCGCAACAUGGAAGACUUUUCGGCGAGAGUCCUUGCGAGGUUGAGUUUCCACUGCGAGCUGCAGCAUGGAGCGUACUUCGAUGAAGGUUGGAGGAGGCCUCAUCAUCGGUAUGAAGGAGGCCUCCUUGUCAAAAUCCUUGUUGAGCCUGACGACAAUGAUGUUGAUGAGUUGCGAGUCGCUAACGGGAUCGUCGAGCUCGCGAAACUCAUUACCGAUGGCCUUGAUGCGUUGACACAAGAGGUUCGUCAUGGCAUCGCCUUGGGCCAAGUUACGAAGCUCGGUGUGCAGAGCGGGUUUUUUCGAGCAUCGAUAUUGCUUUGAAAAAGCUGGCGAAGGGAACCCGAGAUGUUGGCAGCGGUGGCGCCGUCGUGAUCAAGCAUGUUGAAGAUCUCGGUGGUGAUGCGGAUAUUGAACCACUGAACAAUGUGAGAUCAUCUUUCACCCAUUGAUGAUCAUCGGGGCUAGGAAGACUGUUGGAGGCGACGUGAGACCGGAGGUUGUAGUGUCCCACGUGUAGAUCAUAGAGGUGGCGCCAAUGAUAAUAGUUGUGGGCGGCAAGGUCAAGUAUGAUGGGGAUAAAGGGGCUGACAUCGGUGAUGGUGUCGACGAGCGACAUUGGUGCAGCGAGGAGGGUAGUAGGAGGUAUUGGUGGUGCUAGAUAAAGAGUAGAGGAAGAAGAUGCCGCAUCGGCGACGGCUUUGGCGAUGAGAGCACUCCGGUGCUCGAAGUAGCCGGACGGCGACGACGGUGGUGGAGUGGGCGGAGCCAUACCCUAAACCCUAGGAUCAAUAUUUGGUACCAUGAUAAAUGAAUAGAACUAUUGCUUAUUGAUUAUUUUGUAAAUGAUACUCUCUCCGUCCCAAAAUAAUUGUCUCAAGCUUAGUACAACUUUGUACUAAAGUGUAACAUCCCAAAUUUCCAAUUUCGAAUGUUAUUGCAUUAGAGCAUCUUGCAUAUCAUAUUUUAUUUGCAUAAUUGCUGAUCCUAAAAAUUCUAAGCAACUCAAGGACCCUUGCAGAGAGUUGGGAAUUUAUUUAUUUUCGUAUUGGAAUUUUCUCAAAUAAUGAAAAGAGGAUCAUUAGUUUUUAAUUAUUUUUCUCUUCAAAUAUUUCAUAUAUAAAAAUAUGAGAGAGGGGAUAAAAUGACUUUCCCAAAAAUAAAAAAUAUUUGAGAGGAAAUAAUAAAGCCAAAUAAUAAUUUUUAUUUGGAUUUUAUUUGCUAUUUUAUUGGAUUUACGAAAAUAUCGCAUUUUUCAAAAUAUAACUUCGCCCUUUUAAAAAUGUCCACGUUGUAGAGCUCAUUUUUAGGAGUCCGGCAAAAUUUGUUUCAUCGAAAUCGGAGUUCGUAUGGACUUACUUUUUAAUUUUCUAUAUCGUCCGAUUUCAAAAAAAUGAACCGACCCCGGAGGCCUAUAUAAGCCCCUCCCCCCCGCGCGCACAAACCCUAGCCGCCACUCGCUGGAGCACGCCGCCCGAGGUAGAAAAAAUUCAGAAUUUUUUUUGGUUUAUUUAAUUAACGGACGUUCGUCCGUACGUUUGUUUUAAAGAACACUGUUCGUUAAUUAAUUUCAGACGACGAACGUUCGUUCGUCCGUCUGUUCAUCAGAUUUAUUUUCUGGGAUUUUUCCGCGGUUANNNNNNNNNNNNNNNNNNNNNNNNNNNNNNNNNNNNNNNNNNNNNNNNNNNNNNNNNNNNNNNNNNNNNNNNNNNNNNNNNNNNNNNNNNNNNNNNNNNNNNNNNNNNNNNNNNNNNNNNNNNNNNNNNNNNNNNNNNNNNNNNNNNNNNNNNNNNNNNNNNNNNNNNNNNNNNNNNNNNNNNNNNNNNNNNNNNNNNNNNNNNNNNNNNAAACGCCUAGAUUUUCGCCAUGAAAAUCUCUUUCCGACUAAUCCACUUGCAUAAGAUUUUUAAAAAUAAAUGUUUUACUUUAGUCCAGAUUAGUAAACGAAUCUCGUUUCUUUCGCAGUUUGAGUUUCGUUGAUCCGUUUGAUUUGAUUCUUUUUGCAAACCGGAGCUCUUUACUUGAACUUUCUGCUUAGAUCUUAUUCGAUUUUACCCGUGCAUCUAUACUGUUGCUUAUGUGUGCUAUUGUUUGUUGCGAUAGAAUACCCGGAUUGUAAAGCGUGCUACUAUGAGUCCCUAGGUUUUGCGGAUCAUCAGCAAGGCAAGUAACACCUUGAUCAUAUCCCCUAUUACCUAGUUUUUAUUGCAUUAGAUCCACCCUCACACAUUGCAUGGUUAGGAUCUAAUUAACAUGUGGGUAUUGGGAAGUAGAUACUAAGGUAGAACCUAUUACCUGUUUACUAUCAAACUUUUGGGAGUUACUUCUACGUUAUGCUAUUAUUGCUAUGCUAUGCUCGUAGACGAUUAUUUGGGUGAGUGAUUUCCAUGACAUAUGUGAGCAUUGUUAGUUAACGGUUAACCUAAGGUGGAUACUUAAAUACACAUCUGGGUGGAUUGCUUGAGGCACCCUGGAAUCCCUAAUGGCUGUCAGGAUAUCCCGGGGGAACCGUGUGAUCAUCCUAAGGUCCGCCACCCAGCUUCAAAUGGAUCAUAAGACUAUUCAUACCUGAAACUUACGUGUGCAGCCACAAGCUAUUAUGGGCUCUAGCAUAGUUGAGUAAGUUGUGUGAAGCUCUCGAAGCGGUAGACUAGCAGAUGUAGAGGGUAUAGGUGGUACGGUCUAACCAGAAGUAGAGAGUUAAUGCUUCAGAAAGACUGUGUCUUGAAUUCUCUGACCAUGGAUGUAUUUCGAGUCUUGUGGGAAAAGUGCACAACCUCUGAAGAGUGUACAAACUAAUCAUGAUUAGCCGUGUCCCCGGUUAUGGACAUCUUGAGUAUCUGGCUCUUGGAUUUUCAUGUGUAUCUCAACACUCUAAAUUAAUUUGCGGGUUAAUGAUGAUUAUUUUGGGUUUGAGUUGGAGGAACCUUCUCAUUGUUUAAUAACUAACAACGUAGUUAAAUAAACUUUGUUCCACUUAGGAAGAAAUUUGGCUUUAUGCAAAACUGUUAACCAUAGAGCUUUCCACCAGCCAAGUAUACAUGUAGAGAUAGUAUUUAUUCUGCUCACUCUCUAUGUGUUACCUUGCCAGCAUAUUCCAUGUGCUGACCCGUUUCAGGCUGCAACGUUCAUGUUGCAGACUUUUCAGAUAUCGAGUAAGCGCCAUAGGUCAUUGUUUCGCACUCAGCUAUGCCGUUGAAGUUGAUGGACCUACUUUAUCUUCCAAGCCUUCCGCUGUUAUCAUAUUUAGAUGGCCUUAGGCCAUAUUAUUGUAAUAAGUUCUCUUUGAGAAAUUCGUUGUAAUAUGUGUGUGAUUGCUACUUUGUUAUAAUACCCAUCGAAGUAUUGUGCGUGUUAGCAUACCGAUCCAGGGAUGACACAGAUGCAUAGAGACUGGACUGAUUGAGGUCUGGUCGCUACAGAGGUGGUAUCAGAGCACACGUUGACUGUAGGACACGACCACUAAGCUAAAACCAUAGGUCACUCCUCUCUUCUCAUUUUUUGACUCCUCUCCCCUUUCAAAUCUAUAGGAUGGUGGAUAAAAGGAGCAAGUUUACUCAACCGAAUGAGGACACACCUUUUGGAAGACACUUGAAGGAAGCCACUAAGUACCUGAACAUCGGACUACCAAGCUUCACCAGGACCUUCAUCGCCACCGUACCAGACGAGGAGCGUUGGAAGAUUCGAGUUCAAGUUCCAGGAAGGACGUUCAUGCCAGUCACUAAGCCCAUAGAGUUUUCCUUUAAUGCACCAACCUGGGGCAUAGGAAAGAGCAUGGCAGCCCAAAUUACCAUGGGACGCAUUGGAGAAGUUUAUCACCAGGAUCUCGAAGAUACUAUCUACCAGAUUUGUGGACGCCGAGACGACCAGGGUGAGGUAGUCAUCACCAGGAGGGACAGAUCCAUUGCCUCUUACAUCCAGGAAUUGAACCAGCACAUUCGACUCCAAGAGAAUCAGAUGUAUGAGAGUAUGGAUACUUUAUAGAAGGCAAUGACGAGGAUCAAGGAGCUGGAGGAAGAACUCAAGUCUACACGAGAUGGCUACGGUGAGGAGACGACGACACUUGUGGAGAAGAAUGAUGAUUUGAUUAAGAAGCUAGAAGUCUUCAUGAUGGAGCCCAUGAUAGGAGGAGAUGAAGAUGUUCCCCCUAGCCCAAAGAGCUUCAUCAUCAACGACGACACCGACUCCGACCCUGAAAAAAAAAGAUGAUGACUACGUUGAUGAAGCUGGAGCAGAUAUCAUGGAGUCUUCCGCCGAUCAAAACUUCUAGUCGACCACCAUAUCAGUAGCAAGUAUUUCCCCAUGUAAAUAUUAGUUGAGCACUUUUGUGAAUGUUAGAUAGAUCGUUUGUAUGCUCUUGUUUGAAAUUGAUUGAGUGAUAUGUUUGUGUUUGUCUCAUGAGCAUAUGGGUGGUGUUUUCUCUUUAGACCUCACUCUAUUCUAUUUUCUCAUCUUUUCUAAACCCCUCAGAUGGCACCUCCGAGACGUGAAACCGAAUUUGCUUUCCCGCCAGAGAUCACCCAAUUGAUCCAGCAGCGGAAUGCCCUGAUGCAGAUCCUAGUCCAGAAUCAGAAUCAAGGGAACAACAACAACAACCCUCCGCCACCACCACCACCUGUUGGUCACUUAGCCCAUUUCUUAAGGCUAAAUCCACCGGUGUUCUCUAGUAGCACCGAGCCGAUUGUUGCAGAUGAUUGGCUCCGCAAGAUUGGAAGGGAGUUAACCACUGCAGGAUGCUCAGAUGCGGAAAGAGNNNNNNNNNNNNNNNNNNNNNNNNNNNNNNNNNNNNNNNNNNNNNNNNNNNNNNNNNNNNNNNNNNNNNNNNNNNNNNNNNNNNNNNNNNNNNNNNNNNNNNNNNNNNNNNNNNNNNNNNNNNNNNNNNNNNNNNAGUGUGUUUUGCCGCACAUCAGCUAGAUGGACCCGCAGCAUCAUGGUGGGAGAAUUUCACAGCCACUUACCCUAUUGACACUGUCACAUGGGAGCAGUUUCAGCAAGCUUUUCACACCGCCCAUGUUUCAGCAAGAGCUAUGGCCAUGAAGAAGCGUGAGUUUUGCAACUUACGCCAAGGAGGGCGCCCAGUUGGCCAGUAUGUGGAGGAAUUUAGCAAGCUAGCACGUUAUGCCCCUGAUGACAUUGCUACAGAUGCCGCUAAACAGGAGAAGUUCCUAGAAGGACUAAAUGAUGAGCUGAGCAUGCAGUUGAUGGUGGCAAGCUUCAACAACUACCAGGAGUUGGUAGACAAAGCUCUCAUGAUUGAAGGGAAGCAGAAGUAGAUUGACAAUCGCAAGAGAAAGUAUGGACAAGGGAGGUUCAAUUCUAGGGCUCAGCAGAAGCCCCGUUUUACACCGAACUCGAGAGGGCACAUUCACCACAACCAUGGGGGAAAUAAUUCCCAUGGAGGGGGUUCGCAUAAUCAUAGUGGCCCCAGGAAUGUGAAUGGUAAUGGAGGAAGCAAUGGACAGAACCAUUCCACCCCAGCAACGCUCGCCAAGAAGGAUCUAAGUCACAUUACUUGUUUCAAGUGCGGGAAGAAGGGACAUUACGCCACCGAGUGUCCCGAAGCAAAGAAUGGGAAUGGCAAUGACAGCUCUGGGAAGAAGCCCAACCCUUUCAACAGGGGACAAGUGAACCACGUUAGCGUGGAGGAGGUUGAAGCACAAUCUGAUGCGGUAGUAGGUAAGUUUCUGGUUAAGUCAUUUACUGCAAUUGUUCUUUUCGAUAUUGGUGCAUCACAUUCAUACAUAUCAAGGGGAUUUGUGGAUAAGUAUAACCUGCCAACCCAAGCCCUUAGGUCACCCAUGUUAGUAACCUCGCCAGGAGCAGAAUAUAUGGCUAGCCUAAGGUGUGAUCGGAUACCUUUGAGGAUGGGUAAUUACGUGUUCCCUCAGACCUAAUAGUAUUGGAGUCACAAGGACUGGAUGUAAUAUUAGGUAUGGAUUGGUUAUCGAAGUAUGGAGGGAACACUGACUACGCCAGUAAGUCGAUUUUACUCACCACCUCGGAAGGAAGAAGGAUUAAAUAUGUAUCCCAGCAUAUACCGAAGAGGACUCGAGUAAAUUCCUUAUCAGGAGUUGUACAGGAGGAAGGACCAGUGGUGAAGGAUUUCCUUGAUGUAUUUCCAGAGGAGUUGCCAGGCAUGCCACCGGACAGAGACAUUGAGUUUUUGAUUGAGCUUUUGCCAGGCACAGGACCAAUAUCGAAGAGACCAUAUCAGAUGCCUGCAAAGGAUUUGGAAGAAAUUAAGAAGCAGAUUAAGGAGUUACUGGAUAAAGGCUAUAUUCGCCCAAGUUCGUCACCUUGGGGAUCACCAGUACUUCUAGUGGAGAAUAAGGAUGGAUCGUUGAGGAUGGUUGUUGAUUAUUGAGGGCUGAAUGAAGUGACAAUUAAGAACAAGUAUCCACUACCGAUGAUCAAUGAUUUGUUUGAUCGUUUGCAAGGAGCUAAGGUAUUUUCCCAGAUCGAUCUGCGAUCAGGAUACCACCAGCUGAAGAUUCGAGAGCAAUAUAUACCUAAAACAGCUUUUACCACGAGGUAUGGGCUAUAUGAGUAUACUGUUAUGUCAUUUGGUCUGACCAAUGCACCUGCCUAUUUCAUGAACAUGAUGAACAAGGUAUUUAAGGAGUUAUUGGACAAGUUCGUCAUGGUGUUCAUUGAUGAUAUUCUGGUCUUCUCGAAGAAUGAAGAGGAGCAUGAAGAGCAUUUGCGUUUGGUACUUGAGAAACUCAGAGAACAUCAGUUAUAUGCCAAGUUCAGCAAGUGUGAGUUUUGGUUGAAGGAAGUUGGUUUCCUCGGACACGUUAUAUCCGGAGAAGGAAUAGUAGUAGACCCCGCCAAAGUUGACACUGUGACAACCUGGGAAUCCCCCACAGCAGUUGGAGAGAUCCGGAGUUUUCUUGGACUCGCAGGAUAAUACCGGAGGUUCAUUGUGAAUUUCUCAAAGAUUGCAAAGCCCAUGACGGAGUUGCUGAAGAAGGACACCAAGUUCAAUUGGACUGAGGAAUGUGAAGCCAGUUUCCAGGAGUUGAAGAAACGCUUGGUUACAGCCCCAGUGUUGAUUCUUCCAGAUCAACACAAGGAUUAUCCAGUGUAUUGCGACGCUUCUCAUCAACGACUCGGAGCAGUGCUAAUGCAGGAGGGAAGAGUAGUUUCGUAUGCUUCACGACAACUUAAACCCCAUGAGUUGAACUAUGCUACUCACGAUCUGGAGUUAGCAGCCGUAGUGCAUGCACUAAAGACGUGGAGACACUUUCUCAUUGGAAACCAUUGUGAAGUAUACACGGAUCACAAGAGUUUGAAGUAUAUAUUCACUCAGAAGGAGUUGAAUCUCAGACAAAUGAGAUGGUUGGAACUCAUCCAGGAUUAUGAUAUGAGAUUGCACUAUCAUCCCAGAAAGGCAAAUGUAGUAGCCGAUGUGUUAAUCCGCAAGAGUCAUGUCAAUACACUCAUAACCAAAGGAUUGCCCGACGAGUUGGCCGAAGAUCUUCGCGAGCUAUGCUUGGAGAUAGUUCCGGAGGGUUAUGUAGCAGCAUUGGAAAUUCAGUCUACCCUGAUGAGUAAGAUCAGAGAAGCUCAGAAGUCUGACACAGAGGUUUUUGAGAUAAAGGAAAGAAUGAGCAAGGGAAAGGCCAAAGGAUUUCGGGAGGAUGAGCACGAUACCUUAUGGUUUGAGGAUCACGUAUAUGUGCCCAAUGACCCUGAGAUCAGGAAGUUGAUUAUGCAGGAGGCACAUGAUUCGCCAUAUUUGAUUCACCCAGGAAAUACCAAGAUGUAUCUGGAUUUGAAAGACAGUUUCUUGUGGACUGGAAUGAAGAAGGAUAUUGCGGAGUGUGUGGCAGUUUGUGAUGUUUGUCAGAGAGUGAAGGCAGAGCAUCAGAAGCCAGCAGAAUUGCUACAGCCAUUGCCGAUACCCGAAUGGAAGUGGGACAAGCUAGGCAUGGAUUUCAUCACAGGAUUACCCCGAACGCGUUCAGGCUAUGACUCGAUUUGGGUUGUAGUCGACCGUUUGACGAAGGUAGCUCAUUUCAUCCCAGUAAAGACUACUUACAACAGUGCUAAGUUGGCGAAGAUAUACAUGACCAGGAUCGUAUGUCUGCAUGGAGUUCCGAGAGCCAUCGUAUUAGAUAGAGGAACCCAGUUUACCUCAAAGUUCUGGAAUCAGUUGCACGAUACCUUGGGAACCAGGCUAGAGUUCAGUACAGCCUUUCAUCCACAGACAGAUGGACAGAUCGAGAGAGUCAACCAAAUUCUAGAGGACAUGCUGAGAGCUUGUGCACUAGAUUAUGGAUCUAGUUGGGACGACAAUUUUCCUUACGCAGAGUUCUCCUACAACAACAGCUAUCAAGCCAUUUUAAAGAUGGCCCCUUUUGAAGCUUUGUACGGGAGAAGGUGUAGGACACCGUUGUUAAGGGACGAAGUUGGAGACCGUCAGUGUUCGGACCAGAUUUGAUUAAGGAAUCUGAAGAAAAGGUUAAGUUGAUUCGUGAUAGACUGAAGGUAACCCAGUCCAGACAGAAGAGCUAUGCGGAUUUAAAACGCAAGGAGACAGUUCAUGAAGUCGGAGAUAGAGUUUAUCUUCGCGUGUCCCCACUUCAAGGAGUUAAGCGUUUUGGAGUUAAAGGAAAAUUAGCACCACGUUUUGUGGGACCAUACAAAGUUCUGGAACGUAUGGGAGAAGUUGCUUACAAGUUGGAAUUGCAAGAAGGAUUGUCGGGAGUUCACGAUGUCUUCCAUGUUUCCCAGUUGAAAAAGUGCCACUCAGAGAUGGCCGAUAUUCUUCUAAAAGAUACAGUACCACUCGAAGCAAUUCAGUUGGAUAGUGAUUUGACCUACGAGGAGAAACCAGAGAAGAUUCUCGAGUAUGCCAGCCGAGUCACACGCAACAAGGUUAUCAGGUUCUGCAAAGUUCAAUGGAGCCACCAUACCGAGGAAGAAGCCACCUGGGAACGAGAGGAGGAUCUAUGGAAAGAUCACUCGCACCUAUUUUCUAGCCAACCCGAAUCUCGAGGGCGAGAUUCAUCUUAAGGGGGUUGGGAUCCUAAAAAUUCUAAGCAACUCAAGGACACUUGGAGAGAGUUGGGAAUUUAUUUAUUUUCAUAUUGGGAUUUUCUCAAAUAAUGAAAAGAGGAUCAUUGGUUUUUAAUUAUUUUUCUCUUCAAAUAUUUCAUAUAUAAAAAUAUGAGAGAGGGGAUAAAAUGACUUUCCCAAAAAUUAGAAAUAUUUGAGAGGAAAAAUAUUAAAGCCAAAUAAUAAUUUUUAUUUGGAUUUUAUUUGCUAUUUUAUUGGAUUUACGAAAAUACGCAUUUUUCAAAAUAUUAUUUCGGCCUUUCAAAAAUGACCACGUUGUAGAGCUCAUUUUUACGAGUCCGGCAAAAUUUGUUUCAUCGAAAUCGAAGUUCGUAUGGACUUACUUUUAAAUUUUCUAUCUCGUCCGAUUUAAAAAAAAUGAACUGACCGCGGAGACCUAUAUAAGCCCCCCUUGCGCGCACAAACCCUAGCCGCCGCUCGCCGCCCCUCGGCGGAGCACGCCGCCCGAGGUAGAAAAAAUAAUUUUUCAAAUUUUUAUUUUUAUUUUUAUUUUUUGGUUUAUUUAAUUAACGGACUUUCGUCCGUACGUUUGUUUUAACGAACACUGUUCGUUAAUUAAUUUCAGACGACGAACGUUCGUUCGUCCAUCUGUUCGUCGGAUUUAUUUUUUCGGAUUUUUCCGCGGUUANNNNNNNNNNNNNNNNNNNNNNNNNNNNNNNNNNNNNNNNNNNNNNNNNNNNNNNNNNNNNNNNNNNNNNNNNNNNNNNNNNNNNNNNNNNNNNNNNNNNNNNNNNNNNNNNNNNNNNNNNNNNNNNNNNNNNNNNNNNNNNNNNNNNNNNNNNNNNNNNNNNNNNNNNNNNNNNNNNNNNNNNNNNNNNNNNNNNNNNNNNNNNAAACGCCUAGAUUUUCGUCACGAAAAUCGCUUUUCGAUUAAUCCACUUGCACAAGAUUUUUAUAAAUAAUUUUUUACUUUAGUCCAGAUUAGUAAACGAAUCUCGUUUCUUUCGCAGUUUGAGUUUCGUUGAUCCGUUUGAUUUGAUUCUUUUUGCAAACCGGAGCUCUUUACUUGAACUUUCUGCUUAGAUCUUAUUCGAUUUUACCCGUGCAUCUAUACUGUUGCUUAUGUGUGCUAUUGUUUGUUGCGAUAGAAUACCCGGAUUGUGAAGCGUGCUACUACGAGUCCCUAGGUUUGCGGAUUAUCAGCAAGGCAAGUAACACUUUGAUCAUAUCCCUUAUUACCUAGUUUUUAUUGCAUUAGAUCCAUCCUCACACAUUGCAUGGUUAGGAUCUAAUUAACAUGUGGGUAUUGGGAAGUAGAUACUCAGGUAGAACCUAUUACCUGUUUACUAUCAAACUUUUGGGAGUUACUUCUAUGUUAUGCUAUUAUUGCUACGCUAUGCUCGUAGACGAUUAUUUGGGUGAGUGAUUUCCAUGACAGAUGUGAGUAUUGUUAAUUGAAGGUUAACUUAAGGUGGCUACUUAAAUACACAUCUCGGUGGAUUGCUUGAGGCACCCUGGAAUCCCGAGUGGCUGUCAGGAUAUCCCGGGGGAACCGUGUGAUCAUCCUAAGGUCCGCCACCCAGCUUCAAAGGGAUCAUAAGACUAUUCAUACCUGAAACUUACGUGUGCAGCCGCAAGCUAUUAUGGGCUCUAGCAUAGUUGAGUAAGUUGCGUGAAGCUCUCGAAGUGGUAGGCUAGCAUAUGUAGAGGGUAUAGGUGGUACGGUCUACCGAGAAGUAGAGAGUUAAUGCUUCAGAAAGACUCUGUCUCGAAUUCUCCGACCAUGGAUGUAUUUCGAGUCUUGUGGGAAAAGUGCGCAACCUCUGAAGAGUGUACAAACUAAUCAUGAUUAGCCGUGUCCCCGGUUAUGGACAUCUUGAGUAUCUGGUUCUUGGAUUUUCAUGUGUAUCUCAACACUCUAAAUUAAUUUGCGGGUUAAUGAUGAUUAUUUUGGAUUUGAGUUGGAGGAACCUUCUCAUUGUUUAAUAACUAACAACGUAGUUAAAUAAACUUUGUUCCACUUAGGAAGAAAUUUGGCUUUAUGCAAAACUGUUAACCAUAGAGCUUUUCACCAGCCAAGUAUUGAUGUAGAGAUAGUUUGUAUUCUGUUCACUCUCUAUGUGUUACCUUGCCAGCAUAUUCCAUGUGCUGACCCGUUUUGGGCUGCAACGUUCAUGUUGCAGACUUUUCAGAUAUCGAGUAAGUGCCAUAGGUCAUUGUUUUGCACUCAGCUAUGCCGUUGGAGUUGAUGGACCUACUUUAUCUUUCAAGCCUUCCGUUGUUAUCAUAUUUAGAUGGCCUUAGGCCAUAUUAUUGUAAUAAGUUCUCUUUGAGACAUUCGUUGUAAUAUGUGUGUGAUUGCUACUCUGUUAUAAUACCCAUCGAAGUACUGUGCGUGUCAGCAUACCGAUCCAAUGAUGACACAGAUGCAUAGAGACUGGACUGAUCGAGGUCUAGUCGUUACAUAGAGAUAGUACAAAGUUGAGACACUUAUUUUGAAACGGCGAAAGUACAUGACUUUAUAUAUCGAUACACACCGACUUAGAUUAGGUAUUACAAACCGACUUAGACUAGGAAACUUAUGAUGCAAGAAAGAGUGCACCACGGGCUAAAACACCCGUGCAUGGAGAUUUUAGCAGAUAAAAUUGAGAAAGAAAACAUUUGCGUCUAAUAAUCCCAUCUGGAUUUGGUGGAUAGAAGUUACCUACAUUGAGCCAGCAGCAGAUUUUCCAUACCUUGAAGACAUGAAUAUGUGGACCACAGGAGCCUGGGAGAGAUGCCACGCAGGAUAGCGAUUAGAGAACGCGGGGGGCGCCACGUAGCACAGUCGCAGAUGCCACGAUCCGACGUGGCCCAAUGGCUCGUUCUCGUGCGGAUAUUGCAGCCAAUGGCCGGCGGCAUUUGGAUAUCCCCAUCUCGCUCCGUCUCCGGCCUCUCGUGCUCUUAUUAGCAGCCUCAGAUUCCCUUGUCCUCUCAGAGCGCACGCCUGUUCUUCUUCCUGUUGUUGUCUCACCGCGCAGCAAGGAGCAGCCAGCAUCGAGAGAGCAGCAAUGGCUAUGGCGUCGUCAAGCGGGCUCAGGAGCUGCAGCGCCGUGGGCGUGCCGAGCCUGCUGGCGCCUUCGUCCCGGUCCGGCCGCUCCGGACUGCCGUUCUGCGCCUACGCCACCACCUCCGGCCGCGUCACCAUGUCCGCCGAGUGGUUCCCCGGCCAGCCCCGCCCCGCCCAUCUGGACGGCUCCUCGCCAGGGUGACUAAAGCAACAGAGCUGGCUAGCUAGUAGCCGAUCGACUCGACAUCAAUCAAUCUGACCGGCGAUUUCUGUUCUCCCUGCAGGGACUUCGGGUUCGACCCCCUGGGCCUCGCCACCGUGCCGGAGAACUUCGAUNNNNNNNNNNNNNNNNNNNNNNNNNNNNNNNNNNNNNNNNNNNNNNNNNNNNNNNNNNNNNNNNNNNNNNNNNNNNNNNNNNNNNNNNNNNNNNNNNNNNNNNNNNNNNNNNNNNNNNNNNNNNNNNNNNNNNNNNGGUUCAAGGAGUCCGAGAUCUACCACUGCCGCUGGGCCAUGCUCUGCGUGGUACGUCCUCCACCUCCUCCUCUGCACCACAUCCAUCAGCCAUUGUUGAGUUGUUCGCUGGUAGUAAUAACAUGGGUUGCGCUGUACGUGGCAUGGACAACGUGCAGCCAGGGGUGCUGGUGCCGGAGGCGCUGGGGCUGGGCAACUGGGUGAAGGCGCAGGAGUGGGCGGCGCUCCCAGACGGGCAGGCGACGUACCUGGGCAACCCGGUGCCGUGGGGCAACCUGCCGACCAUCCUGGCGAUCGAGUUCCUGGCCAUCGCCUUCGCGGAGCAGCAGCGCACCAUGGAGAAGGACCCGGAGAAGAAGAAGUACCCCGGCGGCGCCUUCGACCCGCUCGGCUUCUCCAAGGACCCCGCCAAGUUCGAGGAGCUCAAGCUCAAGGAGAUCAAGAACGGUACGUCCCAGUCCCAUCACAUAUACCCCGUUAUCGAAUGAAGAAUCAUACGUAGAUAGAACAAGCUGACGCGUUCGUCCGUGGGGAAUGCAUUGCAGGGCGGCUGGCGAUGCUGGCGUUCGUGGGGUUCUGCGUGCAGCAGUCGGCGUACCCCGGCACCGGCCCGCUGGAGAACCUGGCCACGCACCUCGCGGACCCGUGGCACAACAACAUCGGCGACAUCGUCAUCCCCAGAAAUAUCUACGGCCCUUGAGCGGAGCCGACCGGGCUGAGAGGAGAUCGAGGAGCCGGAGCGCAUGGUUUUCAUUCAUGUUUCUGAGUCGAUCCAUUGGUUGAUCACCUUGCCACGCUGGCUCUGCGCGCGCACCGUCCGUGCGUGCUGGAACUGUACAACAACGUCGGCUCUCCGGCCGGCAACCUUUGUAAUGUGUAAAGCUUAAGUAGCGGCCGCUGUUGCGAAUGCAUCCGUGUGAUCUGUAUAAAUUCUUUGCAUGAUGAUGUGUACGGAUAGUUAUCACGUGAUCACCUUAACAUUUCAUUGAGCUUAGGACAUCCCCAACGCGGCCCACCAAACAGAAGUCAUCACAUGUCCACGGACAGUCAGACUAUCAUAAUAAAGGAUAACAUAUAAAGUAGUAACAUGAAUAUGUUACUAGUAUAAGUUAUCAUCUCUAUAAUGGAUAGUAACAUAGAGAUUUUCAUCUAUUAGUUUGGGGUCCUGAUAUUCAUCAUAGUGUGAUAUAUUAGACAUCCACACACACCGUGUAUGGCGUACACAGAAGGUAGCCCACACGAAUUGUGUGUGGGAGAAUAAUAGAACUGACCACAUGUGUGGACACAACUACUUCAUGCCACACGUCCAACAAGUAUUAUCCAUCCCCAUUUGCGUGUGUAACACGAAGUAAAUCUUGUUGGAAUUAUGCCCUAGAGGCAAUAAUAAAUGUAUAGUUAUUAUUAUAAUUCCUGUAUCAAGAUAAUAGUUUAUUAUCCAUGCUAUAAUUGUAUUGAAUGAAGACUCAUUUACAUGUGUGGAUACAUAGACAAAACACCGUCCCUAGCAUGCCUCUAGUUGGCUAGCCAGUUGAUCAAUGAUAGUCAGUGUCUUCUGAUUAUGAACAAGGUGUUGUUGCUUGAUAACUGGAUCAUGUCAUUGGGAGAAUCACNNNNNNNNNNNNNNNNNNNNNNNNNNNNNNNNNNNNNNNNNNNNNNNNNNNNNNNNNNNNNNNNNNNNNNNNNNNNNNNNNNNNNNNNNNNNNNNNNNNNAUGUGUGGAGUAAUAGUAGUAGAUGCAGAAAGUAUCGGUCUACUUGUCUCGGACGUGAUGCCUAUAUGUAUGAUCAUUGCCUUAGAUAUCAUCAUGAUUUUGCACGGUUCUAUAAAUUGCGCAACAGUAAUUUGUUCACCCAGUGUAAUAUUUUCUAUUUUGAGAGAAGCCUCUAGUGAACACUAUGGUCCCCGGGUCUACUUCACAUCACAUUUUCAGCCUUACACUUUUACUUCGUUGCUCUUUCCGCCUUCAGAUCUCAGUUUGCAAUCAAUCUUGAAGGGAUUGACAACCCCUUUAUAGCAUUGGGUGCAAGCUCGUUUGUGUUUGCGCAUGUACUCUGGACACCUGGCUUUGAUUCUCCUAGUGGAUUGAUACCUUGGUUCUCAAAACUAAGGGAAAUUCUUACUGCUCAUGUGCUGCAUCACCCUUUCCUCUUUUUUUUUGACCGGCUACUGUAGGGAAAACCCCCCACAACCUUUUUUCUUUUAUUCCCAUAUAUAAGAGAAGUAUGUACAAGGAGAAAUUAGAAUGUACAAAUGGGAAGAGGAGCUAAAGCUACAAACCUCAAGGAGGC
rnacentral:lncRNA from 1 species